GUGGUAAUGCCGGAUGCUCCAUCACACCGCAUGGUGUGUUGGGAAAGCCUUUGCGGCAUGGGAUGGGGUCGCGUCCUAUCAGCUUGAUGGCGGGGUAACGGCCCACCAUGGCUUCGACGGGUAGCCGGCCUGAGAGGGCGACCGGCCACAUUGGGACUGAGAUACGGCCCAGACUCCUACGGGAGGCAGCAGUGGGGAAUAUUGCACAAUGGGCGCAAGCCUGAUGCAGCGACGCCGCGUGAGGGAUGGAGGCCUUCGGGUUGUAAACCUCUUUUAUCAGGGAGCAAGGCUUCGGUUGAGUGUACCUGUUGAAUAAGCACCGGCUAACUACGUGCCAGCAGCCGCGGUAAUACGUAGGGUGCAAGCGUUAUCCGGAAUUAUUGGGCGUAAAGGGCUCGUAGGCGGUUCGUCGCGUCCGGUGUGAAAGUCCAUCGCUUAACGGUGGAUCCGCGCCGGGUACGGGCGGGCUUGAGUGCGGUAGGGGAGACUGGAAUUCCCGGUGUAACGGUGGAAUGUGUACAUAUCGGGAAAAAACAC
rnacentral:rRNA from 1 species